AGUGAACGCUGGCGGUAGGCCUAACACAUGCAAGUCGAACGGCAGCACAGUAAGAGCUUGCUCUUACGGGUGGCGAGUGGCGGGCGGGUGAGGAAUACAUCGGAAUCUACUUUUUCGUGGGGGAUAACGUAGGGAAACUUACGCUAAUACCGCAUACGACCUACGGGUGAAAGCAGGGGAUCUUCGGACCUUGCGCGAUUGAAUGAGCCGAUGUCGGAUUAGCUAGUUGGCGGGGUAAAGGCCCACCAAGGCGACGAUCCGUAGCUGGUCUGAGAGGAUGAUCAGCCACACUGGAACUGAGACACGGUCCAGACUCCUACGGGAGGCAGCAGUGGGGAAUAUUGGACAAUGGGCGCAAGCCUGAUCCAGCCAUACCGCGUGGGUGAAGAAGGCCUUCGGGUUGUAAAGCCCUUUUGUUGGGAAAGAAAAGCAGCAGGUUAAUACCCCGCUGUUCUGACGGUACCCAAAGAAUAGGCACCGGCUAACUUCGUG
rnacentral:rRNA from 1 species